UACGUAGGGAGCAAGCGUUGUCCGGAAUCAUUGGGCGUAAAGGGCGCGUAGGCGAUCUGACAAGUCUGGUGUGAAAGCCCACAUGUUAACUGUGGAAGUGCAUUAGAAACUGUUGGAUUUGAGUUCAGGAGAGGAAGGCAGAAUUCCCGGUGUAGCGGUGAAAUGCGUAGAGAUCGGGAGGAAUACCAGUGGCGAAGGCGGCCUUCUGGACUGACACUGACGCUGAGGCGCGAAAGCCAGGGGAGCAAACGGG
rnacentral:rRNA from 1 species